CCCUUAGAUGUUCUGGGCCGCACACGCGCUACACUGAAGGAGGCAGCGUGUACUCCUGGAUCGAAAGAUUUGGGUAACCCGCGAAUCUCCUUCGUGCUAGGGAUUGAGGUUUGCAAUUAUCCUUCAUGAACGAGGAAUUCCCAGUAAGUGCAAGUCAUAAGCUUGCGCUGACUACGUCCCUGCCCUUUGUACACACCGCCCGUCGCUACUACCGAUUGAAUGGUCCGGUGAAAUCUUCGGAUCUGAGAGAUGUCUGAUUAAUUUCGGACGCCUUUUGGAAAAGUUGCUUAAACCUUACCAUUUAGAGGAAGGUGAANUCGUANCA
rnacentral:rRNA from 1 species